rnacentral:rRNA from 1 species
AUGGCAAAAGCUAUACCAAAAAUUGGUUCACGUAAGAAAGUGUGUAUUGGUUUACGUAGGAAUGCAUGUUUUAGUUUACGAGGGAGUUACUGUCUAUCGUUGGCCUUUAUGGUAGAACUCGUCGGGGAGGCCUGA